UACGUAGGGUGCAAGCGUUGUCCGGAAUUAUUGGGCGUAAAGAGCUCGUAGGCGGUCUGUCACGUCGGCUGUGAAAUCCCGAGGCUCAACCUCGGGUCUGCAGUCGAUACGGGCAAACUAGAGUAUUGCAGGGGAGACUGGAAUUCCUGGUGUAGCGGUGAAAUGCGCAGAUAUCAGGAGGAACACCUGUGGUGUAGACAGCUUACUGGACCACUUCUGACGCUGAGACACGAAAGCGUGGGGAGCAAACAGG
rnacentral:rRNA from 1 species